UUUUAUUUUUGAGAGAUUGAAUUCAUAAUGUAUUCCUGAUGGUAUACCUGCAUCCAGCUUCAAUCAGAGUACUAUUUCUACAUUCUCGUAAAGCCCAUAAUUUUAACCGCAAUUGGAUCCCGUCAUCCUUACACACACGAUUCGUAAAGAAAGCAACUAUUACAACAUUUUUAUGUUGAAAUUUCAAAAAACGGGAACUUCGUUAUCAUUCAUCAAACAUCAAAAAAUUUUUGCUUUUCUGAAUCACUGCAUAUUUUAAAUUUCUAUAAUUAACAUCACAUUUUCGUUUCCCAAUGAAUAAUGUAACUUAUGUUUUCCUCAUAGUGCUGAGCAGUGGUGUACUGAGGCCCUGAGGGCGGCAUAGGACAACAAACACACAACAGCUGUUUGAGCAGCGCGCUGGUUUUGAGCAGUGACCUAGCUCUCUUAUGUGUCUCGAGAUUAGCUUCUUACCUUACGUGGCAAAGUUAAAGUUUCGAAAAUUUUCACUCUAUAUGAGGAAUAAUCUAAAGUAGUGUAUGCUGCAAACUGUAUUGUUAUCAAAACGGGUAAUUUUUUUAAGUUGUAACAACCAAAACAAAUCAGAAACAUAAAUGGUGUGAUAGAAGUUUUGUUUGGGUGCCAUGGCUCGUCAUUCUUUAACAUGUUGAGCAUGAAAAUCCAUGCUCCUGAAUGAAAAUGAUCUUACAGCCGAUUUGCGGUGACUGACGAUAUUGGUGUCUUAUUGUUUAGAGAUUGUACAACUAAAUACAACCAGUAUAGCAUCCAGGUGGGGUUUGUCUUGAACGUGACUUAAAAUGGGAAAUCCUGUUGGGUAAUUAAUUCAUAGUUUUCUAAAAGUCACCUGCAACUAACAAGGAACAGUAAACAAACCCUUCAAAAUUUUGUAAUAUACCUGGCAAAAAACAUAUAUUUUUAGGUUUGCUUUAAAAUACUCCACAUUCAAGGUAGCCACCGGGGUUCAAAUCUUCGAAUCUGGUUGUAUUGGCACAAGUUGCUCCAUUUGUAGCCUUGAGAAGAUUUGGAUUGUCACGAAUAAGCCACGCUAGUCCACAGUCACAAGAAAAGGGAUCUAAUGAUUUUGUGACAUAAGGGUUUAAUCUUUUGUGUAAACAUAACAUAUUUUGGCUUGUAAUGCUUUCUUACUGUUUGCAAGAUUGAUAGUGCCAGUGGAAUUUGCAAUGCCAGCCAUCUGGGUCAAAAUGGGCUUGAAAACCAAUGAAUCAAAGGAAACAAGA